rnacentral:rRNA from 1 species
UGAUCCUGGCUCAGGAUGAACGCUAGCGGCAGGCUUAACACAUGCAAGUCGAGGGGUAUANNUCUUCGGANAUAGAGACCGGCGCACGGGUGCGUAACGCGUAUGCAAUCUACCUUUUACAGAGGGAUAGCCCAGAGAAAUUUGGAUUAAUACCUCAUAGUAUAUCACAAUCGCAUGAUUGAGUUAUUAAAGUCACAACGGUAAAAGAUGAGCAUGCGUCCCAUUAGCUAGUUGGUAAGGUAACGGCUUACCAAGGCUACGAUGGGUAGGGGUCCUGAGAGGGAGAUCCCCCACACUGGUACUGAGACACGGACCAGACUCCUACGGGAGGCAGCAGUGAGGAAUAUUGGACAAUGGGCGCAAGCCUGAUCCAGCCAUGCCGCGUGCAGGAUGACGGUCCUAUGGAUUGUAAACUGCUUUUAUACGAGAAGAAACACUC